UGUUUUUUUUUUCAGACCUUGGACAGAAAAGCCCAUUCGUAUAGGCACCCAUUUCCAUCAGUGGCAGACGGAAACAGAAAUUGGGCCAUACAAAUGGAACAAACAGAAACGUUAUUCUGCAACCCUCCUCGAGCCACAAGGAGUGACGGGUAAGAAAUGUUGUUGUUGUUGUUGUUGUUGUUGUUGUUGUUGUUGUUGUUGUUGUUGUUGUUGUUAUGUGAACCAUGUGCAAAUUUGACACAGAAAAAAGCCCCCUUUAUAUUAUUUUUCACACACAAAAUAGUAUUUUCUGCAUGGAAAAUAAUAUUUCAACAUACAGUUUAUUGGCGUCAAAAACAGCGUGGAGCUCCAAGGCUUUCCCUUCGCUGGAAGAAAAAUUUUAAAAUCUAUUUAUUCCUUCCUUUGAGAAGCAACUUAGUGAAGAAUUCUACCUAUAGAAAGAAGCUCAGAGCCAGCCCAACACUGUAUGGUUUUGGAGUGUAUUUCCUUGAAAUGAUACUAAACAAGAGCCCAAAAUAAAUGUUUCAAUGAUUCAACGACGAAACCGUCUCCUGGAGCAGGGAUGGCUCUUGCGGCAUUAUUUUCUCCCACGGUUCCUUGGGUUCUGUCUCCCUACAAUCCAUCUCCAACUCUCGCAGCCUUUGUCAUACGAUGCUUUGCCUUCCUUACACUUCUGUGCUUUGCAACACAGCUCUGGAAAUGUAUAAUAUAUACUUUUAAAUGGCACAAUACCGCCGCAAUCACGCUUCGACGCUGCCUCCAAAACGAUCCCAUUGUAUCUUUCUCUAUUCAGCCUGCAAAAUAGCGAGCAUUUCUCUUCUUAUUUUCCGUCCGCAAGCACAGGUAAGUUGCCAGUAAUGCCGGCAUAUUUUCAAUAAGAACCUCAAGCCAUUCUUGGAAAAGGUUUAGAUUUUUGUUCCUUCUCCUUGUUGUAUAUCUUCAGGGGACUAAAGUGCUUUGGGAGUGGGAAGGAGAACAAAAAGGGAAAGGUGACGAUGGAAAGAAACCAUGCUGGACAUCCUUUCUCAUCCCCAAGGAGAUAGUUUCAAAUCCAAAGCAAUUUAGCUAUUGUGGAGUGACCUAAAUGAUUGGAUCUAAAGGACGGACGGACGAAUCCAAUGGGUUUUGAGCCAUUUCGAUCAAAGCACCAGGGAUUCUGAAAACACAAAAUUGUACAAUUUCAGCUCAGAGUAGAAGGUGUGAAUGAUAUGAAUCCCCAGGGAACCUUUCUUGACUGUAUAAAGCAGCUUUGCUCCAAGUUGGCCACUUUGAUUAGCAACCUUCACACUUGCCUCCAACAGACAAGAGUUACGUGCUCCCAAAGUACUGAAGAUACCAAAGGAAACAAAGGAAACCGGAGAAACGAAAUCUGUGCACAACCCUACUGUAUAUAGGCUGCGACACAUAGAAAAUGUCCCAAAUCAAAGAUCAACUUUCUUGGAAUGAGUUUGCUUGAUGGAGAACUUGGAUGCUGGAGUUUUGAUAUCACCAAUAUUAUUAUUAUUAUUAUUAUUAUUAUUAUUAUUAUUAUUAUUAAUAAUAAUAAUAAUAAUAAUGAAAAUCGUAUCACUUCAGCACAGCUCACCGAUUAAAUGGUAGCCCAAUGGAAGUAUUCACUGGAGUUUAGAUGUAAUUAAGAUCGAAUUGAUUUUAUAUUCAAUCCAUGUAAACACUGCUCCCUCCAACUCUUACAAAUCUAUAAAGUAGCACAAAAAUCACCGGCUCGAUUUUUCAAAAGGAUGGAUAGUUAACGCAGGGGGCUGCUUUGCCCUUUAUCCGUGUAUGACACAAAGAAGGCAUAAAUGUGAAGCGACGCGGCAUUGGCUCAUUCAGAAAGCUAUUGAAGGAAGCUUAAAUGUUGACCAUUUUUCAAGGCCGCUUCUACUUUCUGUCUUCUCAGUGAAUUAAUUAAACUCAUUAGUUUGACAAGCAGAAAAACCCAUUCCAUAUAAACACCAUGUUUCCCAGUUGAGAUACAGCUUUAUUAUAACCAAUCUUGCAAAAGGCACUUAUGAUCAUGAGUAUCUCUAAACUCAGAAUUAAACGCUUGGAUGCGGAUGGGGUGAUUCCAUGCAGAGGAAGUUACUCAGUUGUCACAUGUAGGUUCUUUCCCAAAAGCAUUCUCUCCUGACGUUUCACCCACAUCUAUGGCAGGCAUCCUCAGAGGUUGUGAGGUAUAUACAUGUGGAAAUAUGGAUUCCAUUCAACUUUAUUUUUAAACAACCAAGUCUAGGUUACGGCCAAAAGAAAGGCCAAUAACGGACAAAACAAUACGAUUUGAAAAUUCCUACACAAUAUACAAAAAUAUGAUAUUACCUUUGACACAGGGCGAUGUACAAUGUAAUGCACAACAGUUGCAAAUAUAACUGCCAACUCUGCAUUCUUUUCAUAAGAAAAAUUAAUCUAAUUUAUUCUCAUAAUAAAUUCCAAGUAGGGCUGCUUUCACUGCAAAUCUAGAUACAUUAGCCAUGACUGAUUUAAUUGGUCUUGACAGCAAGUAUAUAAUUUUAUCCCUAUCAUUAAAAUUAGCUACAGGCAACAAACAUCUUACCAAGUAUUGAUCCCUUGGAAUUUCCUAUCGCUUACAAUGGAACAUGUAAGUUACACACAGUGUCUUCGGGUGCUUGGCUCCCACGGAUGAAGUGCUACCGUUCCCUACGAAUAGAAAGCUCAAUGCCAUGGAAGCCUGGGGAUUGUAGUUUGGUGAGGCACCAGCACUCUUUGGCAGGAAAAGUUAAAGACUUUGUAAAGCUACAAAAUCGUAUUAUCUGGUAACCAUUGAAGGCUGAGCUGUCCAGACUUUUCAUGCUUGUGCCAUGCUUUUCAGACACACAUCCUUUCGCAACACGGUCAUUCGGUUUGACGAGCAAACUGAAGGUUAACCAAGCCCUUCAAGGAGUUUCAUACCUAUAUAUAUUCACAUAUACAUACAUAUAUGUAUAUAUGAAACGUAUCAUGUACUCAUUUGUUUCCUAUAAUUAAUCUCAACUGUGUAAACAAUGUUUGGACUUUUCCCCUUUAUGCUUCUUAUGUCCUACACUUGAUUGUUGUGUUAUUUUCUCUAAUGACUGUGAAUGUCAUGAUGCAAUCACAAAGGGAAUUGGUGAUGGCUGAGUCAUAACCGUGUGAGGUGUAUUGCAUCAUAUACAACUUCUAUAAUGUGCACUUUACUUAGUCUAUUAUCAUAACCUCGCUAUUUUUAAUUCCAUGUUUUAUUAAGUGUGUGUUUUUUUAUUAUUUAGGUUAAUGUUUAGAAUUUUAUAAUUUGUGUAUGUUUUUUGUUUAUUGAUGUAUUGUAUAUUGUUAUUGUUUUUAUCUGGUAUUAUCUGUAAGCCGCCCUGAGUCCCCUUCCCGGGAGAUGGAGGCAGGGUAUAAAUAAACUUAUUAGUCAGCUCUA